AAUAUUGCGCAAUGGAGGGAACUCUGACGCAGCGACGCCGCGUGAGCGAUGAAGGUUUUCGGACUGUAAAGCUCUGUCCUUGGGGAAGAAGGCGGCCAUGUAUGGCCACUUGACGGUACCCAAGGAUGAAGCCCCUGCUAACUACUUGCCAGCAGCCGCGGUAAUACGUAGGGGGCAAGCGUCGUCCGGAAUUAUUGGGCGUAAAGGGUACGCAGGCGGCCAUGUAAGUCAGAUGUGAAAGACAUAGGCUUAACCUAUGUAAGCAUUUGAAACUGCUUGGCUUGAGUUAAGGAGAGGAAAGUGGAAUUCCUAGUGUAGCGGUGAAAUGCGUAGAUAUUAGGAAGAAUAUCAGUGGCGAAGGCGACUUUCUGGACUUAUACUGACGCUGAGGUACGAAAGCGUGGGGAGCAAAC
rnacentral:rRNA from 1 species